rnacentral:lncRNA from 1 species
UAAGAGGCAAAGACAGAAGUGUAAGGAAUCCAAGACCAUCUUGAGCUACACAGUGAGAACCUGACUCAAAGACAAGAAAAAGGAGGAAGAGGAGCAGGAGGAGGGAGGAGCAGCAGGAGGAGGGAAGAGCAGCAGGAGGAGGGGGGAGCAGCAGGAGGAGGGAGGAGCAGCAGGAGGAGGGAGGAGCAGCAGGAGGAGGGAGGAGCAGCAGGAGGAGGGAGGAGGAGCAGGAGGAGGGAGGAGCAGCAGGAGGAGGGAAGAGCAGCAGGAGGAGGGGGGAGCAGCAGGAGGAGGGAGGAGCAGCAGGAGGAGGGAGGAGCACCAGGAGGAGGGAGGAGGAGCAGGAGGAGGGAGGAGCAGCAGGAGGAGGGAAGAGCAGCAGGAGG